UUUUAUUUAUUUUAUUUAUUUAUUAAUAAUUUAUAUUAUUUAAUAUAGAAAAUUAUAAUUUAUUAAUUUAAUAUUUAAUUAAUUUAAAAUAAUAUUUAAUUUAUUUUAUCUUUUGUAUCAGAUUUAAUUAAAAUUAUUUAUUUAAUUAAUUUUUUAAAAUAAUUAUCAAUUAAUUUAAUUUUUAUUUAUUAUUAUAUUAAUAUUAAAUAAUUUAAAUUUUUUUUAAUAUAAAAUUUAAUUUAUAUUUAAUUAAUAAAAAAAAAAUUAUUUAAAUUAUUUUUAAUAAUUAAUUAUUAUUAUUUAUUUAAUUAUUAUUAAUAAAAGUUAAGUUUUAUUAAAAUUUAUAAUUUUAUUAUUAAAUUAAAUAAAAAAUAUAUUUUUAAUUUAAAAAUUUAAUUUUUUAAUAAUUUAUUUUAUUUUGAUUUAUUAAUUUAAUAAUAAAAUUUAUUUUUAAAAUAAAUAUUUAUUUAUAAUUAAAAAUUAUUUAAAUUUAUUAAUAAUGAUUAAAUUAAUAUAAUUAUUAAAUUUAUUAAUAAUAAUUUAACAAAUAUUAAUUUUAUAAAUGUUUAAUAAAAACAUUUUUUAAAAAUUUUAAUUUUAAAUAAUUUCUGCUCAAUGAAUUUUAUUUUAAAUAGCUGCAAUAUUUUAAUUGUACAAAGGUAGCAUAAUAAUUAGUUUUUUAAUUGAAAACUUGAAUGAAUGAAUUUUUAUAUAAUUAUUAUUUAUUUUAAAAAAUUAAAAUUUUAUAUUUAAAUAAAAAAGUUUAAUUUUAUUUAAAAGACAAAAAGACCCUAUAAAAUUUUAUAAAUUUUAUUAUUAUUUAAAGUUUAUUUUAUUGGGGUAAUAUUUAAUUUUUUUUUAAUUAUUAUAAAUUAUUAUUAUAAAUUUAAAUUUUAAUGAAUAAAUUUUUAUUUUUUUAUAAAUAUUAUUUAUUUAAAAUAAAUUAUUUUAGGGAUAACAGGAUAAUAUUUAUUAAUAGUACAAAUUAAAAUAAUUGAUUAUUACCUCGAUGUUGAAUUAAAAUAUAAUUAAUUGAAGAAAAUUUAAAUUUUUAAGUCUGUUCGACUUUAUUUUUUUACAUGAUUUGAGUUUAAAUCGAUGAAAAUUAGAUUGGAUUUUAUCUUUAAAUAAAUUAAAUUUUUUAGUACGAAAGGAUUUUAAAUUUAAAUUUUAUUUU
rnacentral:rRNA from 1 species